rnacentral:snRNA from 1 species
CUACUCGCUUCGGCGGUACAUAUACUAAAAUUGGAACGAUACAGAGAAUAUUACCAUGGCCCCUGCUCAAGGAUGACACGCAAAAUCGUGAAGCGUUCCACAUUUUU